GACGAACGCUGGCGGCAUGCCUAAUACAUGCAAGUUGAACGAUGAUAUUCUCUGCUUGCAGAGAAUUGAAGAGUAGCGAACGGGUGAGUAACGCGUGGGGAACCUGCCCAUGAGAGGGGGAUAACAUUCGGAAACGGAUGCUAAUACCGCAUAAUGCUUUGGACCGCCUGGUCCAGAGACGAAAGACGGCUUUUGCUGUCACUCAUGGAUGGCCCCGCGCCGUAUUAGCUAGUUGGUGAGGUAAUGGCUCACCAAAGCUGUGAUACGUAGCCGACCUGAGAGGGUGAUCGGCCACACUGGGACUGAGACACGGCCCAGACUCCUACGGGAGGCAGCAGUAGGGAAUCUUCCACAAUGGGCGAAAGCCUGAUGGAGCAAUGCCGCGUGAAUGAAGAAGGUCUUCGGAUCGUAAAGUUCUGUUAUUAGAGAAGAACAAGUCAAGGAGUAACUGUCCUGACUUUGACGGUACCUAACCAGAAAGUCACGGCUAACUACGUG
rnacentral:rRNA from 1 species